GUAGGUGGCAAGCGUUGUCCGGAAUUAUGGGCGUAAAGCGCGCGCAGGUGGGUUCUUUAAGUCUGAUGUGAAAGCCCCCGGGCUCAACCGGGGAGGGUCAUUGGAAACUGGGGAACUUGAGUGCAGGAGAGGAAAGUGGAAUUCCACGUGUAGCGGUGAAAUGCGUAGAUAUGUGGAGGAACGCCAGUGGCGAAGGCGACUUUCUGGCCUGUAACUGACACUGAGGCGCGAAAGCGUGGGGAGCAAACAGGAUUAGAUACCCUGGUAGUCCACGCCGUAAACGAUGAGUGCUAAGUGUUGGGGGGUUUCCGCCCCUCAGUGCUGCAGCUAACGCAUUAAGCACUCCGCCUGGGGAGUACGGUCGCAAGACUG
rnacentral:rRNA from 1 species